rnacentral:rRNA from 1 species
UCAGUCGACUCCUACGGGAGGCAGCAGUGGGGAAUAUUGGACAAUGGGCGCAAGCCUGAUCCAGCCAUGCCGCGUGAGUGAUGACGGCCUUAGGGUUGUAAAGCUCUUUCAACGGUGAAGAUAAUGACGGUAACCGUAGAAGAAGCCCCGGCUAACUUCGUGCCAGCAGCCGCGGUAAUACGAAGGGGGCUAGCGUUGUUCGGAAUAACUGGGCGUAAAGCGCACGUAGGCGGAUUGUUAAGUUAGGGGUGAAAGUCCCGGGGCUCAACCCCGGAACUGCCUUUGAUACUGGCAAUCUAGAGUUCGAGAGAGGUGAGUGGAAUUCCGAGUGUAGAGGUAGAAAUUCGUAGAUAUUCGGAGGAACACCAGUGGCGAAGGCGGCUCACUGGCUCGAUACUGACGCUGAGGUGACGAAAGCGUGGGGAGCAAACAGGAUUAGAUACCCUGGUAG